CUCCUAGCACCUAUAUACACCACCUCUGAAACCCCACCUUCUACAACCAAAACCUCACAACCUCUACCUAAAUUUAAUCCUGCCCAUACAUCACUACCUCUAUCCGAAGUUGAGGAACUCAAUCAAACCACCUCUUCAUCUUCAAACCCAGAAUCACCCCCUACCUUAUCCUCUCCUCUGACCCAGAACCUUCUGACCCCGCUUCUCCCACUUUAGCUCACCUUUAUUCUCUAAACCGAAACUCACAACAACCACAACAACCUCCACCUGAACUUGAAGUCACUUCACCACCCUCAGAACAAACAACCAACAACCCUUCUGAAGCUCAACCCUCUGACAUCACCCCCCAAAACACUUCCGCUGAACCUGAACCUCUAACAUUAAACUUAAACCCUCCAAACUCU
rnacentral:lncRNA from 1 species